rnacentral:misc_RNA from 1 species
AUAUUUUUUUAUAUUUGAAAAGAAGAAUAGUCAUAAUUUUCACUUUCUCCUCUUUAUUCCUUAGAAAAUUUGAGAUUUUAGAGGCAAGAUCCUCCCUUAAUUCACUAUUUUCCAAAUAUAAGACAUAGCUCACUUAUCCCUUUUUUACUUUUAUUGAUCACUCCUCCACCAUCUUCCAAAAGACCAAAAGCCCCUAAUUAAUCAUUUUCUGGGAUGAUUUCCUAAUGAAGUGUCAGCCAUUCAAUCCGCUAAAGGAAGGAAUGUGUAUUAUUUUUUCUCAAAAGUCGAAAAUUUUUAUAUUUUCUUAAAAAAAAUUUUAGUCCCCACAGUUCUUCUGCUACUUUGCCUAUGAAUUGGCGUGGUUUGGAUUGUAGACAGACUUUGGCUUUACAACAUUUUUCUUCUCUCUUUCACUGAUCAGUAAGCACACUAGUAUGUAUCAAUUCCUCGAAGAUACAGCGUCAGGAUGCCUUUGAACUUUGAAAUUCACGAUAAAUGAUGGUUUAGAGACACUAGAUUUUUGGGUCUUCAAUUGGAUCUAAAUUGCUCAUUGUAGCUUAAAUAUAAUGAAUGUCCAUAGAGCGAUAGGAUGUGAAACUGGGAAGCAGCAAUUCCUGUCCUUUUAAUUUCCGCUGUGUUUGAAACUGGAUUUUGCCUUUGAAUGCUAUGGAAGCUUCACAGAUGACAGAGCUAAUUGAUUUCCUUGGCUCAUCUAGACAGUUUCUUGUAACAUGAUUUGAGCCUGAUUUGGAAAAGAGAGACUUACCAUUGCUGGCAUAUAAAAGAGAUUAUGCUUUCUAUAAAGAUGUACCUCAAUCUUGCUUGUAACUUAUUUGCUUGUCAGUGUUCAUAUUGUCGUUGUUGUUUCUUGCGUUCAUCAAAUUUUCAUUGAACUAGAGGAAAUUAACUGGGAAAAA